GUGCCAGCAGCCGCGGUAAAACGUAGGACACAAGCGUUAUCCGGAGUUACUGGGCGUAAAGAGCGCGUAGGCGGUUUGAUAAGUUCGCUAUGAAAGCACCUGGCUAAACUGGGUGAGGCUGGCGGAUACUGUCAGGCUAGAGUGAGACAGAGGCAGAUGGAAUUCCGCGUGUAGUGGUGAAAUGCGUAGAGAUGCGGAGGAACACCAGUGGCGAAGGCGGUCUGCUGGGUCUCAACUGACGCUGAGGCGCGAAAGCGUGGGUAGCGAACGGGAUUAGAUACCCGCGUAGUCC
rnacentral:rRNA from 1 species